rfam:Trichinella patagoniensis scaffold268s, whole genome shotgun sequence.
UGAGAAUUCUAAGUAGUAGUGCCGCAGGUCACGGUAUUUCAAGUCACCUGCUCUCUGCUACUUAAGAUUCUUA